AAGAUAUGCACUUUUGCUGUUAUAAUUGUGGGUAAUUUUGUCUUCCUAUAGAAAGUUCAACAUGAAUUGUUGUCUGUUUAUGCAACCAAAUUGCUCGAGAAGGAGCACUCUGGAUGUCAUGCAUUGCUUAGGGAUGACAAGGUAGAGGAUUUAUCAAGGAUGUAUAGGCUCUUUUCCAAAAUACCUCAAGGUUUAGAUCCGGUUUCUAGUAUAUUUAAGCAGCAUGUUACUGCUGAAGGUACAGCAUUGGUUAAACAAGCGGAAGAUGCAGCCAGCAAUAAGAAGGUGAUGUAAUCUUGAUUGUGUUAUUUCAGAUCCCAUAGUCUUUGUGCAAUUUGUCUUCUGAGGAGGUGCAUUUCACAAGGCUCAUGAUUGAUCUGCCAUUACAUUGGACUUGGUUAACAAGUAAACAUGAAUCAGUCAUAUAAAAUUAUAAAUCUAUCUUAUUGUGCAUGUGCUAACUAGAUGAAAUCAUUAUGCAUGUAUUAGUCAUACUGAUGCAUUUGUAUUCAUUUUUUUGGUGCUGGGUUAUUGAUACAUGUGUAUUUAUGGAACAUUGUUACUCUAAUGAAUUU